AGGAAGCAAAGGAAGAGGAAACUGAAGUAAGUCAACUACAAUGAGGAGGAACACGCAAGAAGUAAAAGACAAAGACUAGAUGAGUAUACCAAGGAGUUUUACAUUAAUAAGAGUAGUUAGCACUAGUUUGGUUUAACUAAGUUAAGUUGUGUUGGAGAUUGAUUCAACAUGAAGACUCUUUGCAAGUGAAUUGAAGAAGAAGUAAUCAACAAGAAGAAAGAAGUCACGAGACUAAAGCUGUGUAGUAAACAUGCUAGCUGAAGGAGAGGGUCUUAAACAAGGAAGUGUUAAUUACAUCUCACGUGGGUCACGUGCAAGGUAAUGAGAACACGUCAUCACCGUCUUUAGCUUCGUCUCUUGGUUUAUAAGUAGAAACGAGAGGAGCUGCGACGAUGCGUAACAGAGAGUUAGAGAUAGAUAGAGAGAUGUGAGAGAGAGCAGUAGCUUAUGUAUCUUGGGGUCUCUUGGGUUUCUAUUCUCUUAUCUUCUUCUUGAUUCCUCUUUCUUGUAAGGUUGGUUGGGUUGUAACCAACGGUGAGUGAUCUCCAUGUACAGCCACGCCGGAGGCGUUUUCCGGCCAAUCUAUCGAACUUGGGGACCGCAAGGUCCUAACCGAAUGUACCCGUUAGUUAACACGGCGAACCGGGUCAUAUCGAUGUGUUCUUUGAUUCCAGCUCAAGUUCAUGAGUUCUUGAAGUUCAUCAAUGGUGAUCAAAGGGGUUUGAUUCUCAACAAGUUGUUUAGUCAUAGUGGUUAAAGAGUUGCUGAUUGUUUGAUUAACUAGUCAAGGACCUAGAGGUAUGGAUUAGGAGAAGAUGUGCAAGGAAACAUAAGUGUAGAAGAAAAUACAGUUUCAUGUUGGUUGCAGAAGUCUUGACUAAAAGAAAGCAGUAGUUAAAUAUUCUUUGCAGUUAAAGUUGAUAAUCAGUGUCUUCAAGUCUAGAAGACCGUCCCAUGAUGCAUUGGUUGUCCGGUUCCUUGAAUCACAAGUAAUGACUCCUUGUCCUAGCGACUUUUAUUUAUGCCCCCUUAAAGCAAGAAACAGUUUUACUGAAGCUCAAUUUGAACACCAUCAUUCUCGACAGAACUGCAUCCAGGAAACUUUUUGAUUCCCAAAUCUUUCAUUUUCCUUCUCACACUCGUCACAUCUUUCCAUUUAUUGGCAGAUGCAUACGAAUCAAUUGCUCCAAUACCUCUGCCCAAAAUAAAAUUCUCCAAGUACUCCUGCCCGAAAAAUUAAUUAAAUAAAACUUUAAUUAAAUCCGAAAAAUAAGUAAAAUACCACGAAAUCAAAAGGGACUUGCAUAAUUACAAUCCAACCAAGGGCAUUGGCGCAGACCAUCCAGAUCCGACCCAUAAUAUUCGGAUCUGUUUCUCCAUAACAUCUGUAAGAGUGGUGUAACUAUAAACAUUUGUGUUAUUGUGCAACUUAAUUAAAUAUCAACUAAGUCGCGCUUUUUGUAACUGUUCGUAACUGUAAACCUUAGUAAAAGUUCAACUAAUUUUGAUUGUAUCUUUUACAUUGACAUUUAUUUUUUUGAAACACAUUGGCAAUAUGUUCUUCUAUUGUAUCUUUUACAUUGGCAAUAUGUUCUUUUAUUGAAGUUAAAUAAAUAAAGAUAAUUUUAUAGAGGAAAAGUAGAGACAUUAGAUUAGGAAAUGUAUUUUACAGACAUUACAUUAGGAAAUGUAUUUUAUAUAAACUUAACAAAAAUAGAUAAAAAUUGCAUGUCAUAACUCAUAAACAAACAACUAAUCUCCAAAUGGCCAGUCACGAGCAGUCAAGUGAAUUUUAUUGCGGAAGUCUCAAGCUGCACAUUGCCUGAAACAACAAUCGCAUUUCCAGCGUGUUCUUGAUCCAUCUAUGGAGACUACAAACACUGGUUCUAUUAUUGUGGAGCACCAACAAUCAUAGCAGACGUUGGGAUCUAUUCUUUCUAAUAGAGACAUAAACAUCUCAGGUUUACCGUAACCCCAAUGGCCAGAGAGCGCCCAACUAGUGAUCAUGUGAUACAUCCGAUCAACAUAUUCACGAGUAAAAUCAGGAUAGUUGUGAACCAAUCCUUUAUGAUCAACGCUAAAUGCUAAGUUCAUCAUACCAUCUACAUAUUUGGCCAACAAGCAUCCUCUCUCACCAGCAAGACGAAUUGUUUUCCUUCCUUCAUCAAGUAAAUGGAGGAUGAAGUAUUCAUACAUAGCUCGCAAGUAGAUGGCCUCUGGAUUACCCAGUUGGUAGCACUUAAGCCUGAAUGUUCUAACAGCUUUGACAUGAUCUAACCAGUCAUUCAAGAAAAUGAGAUCGACAGAUUUGUAAAAAUAAUCUUCUCUGCCAACUGCGUUAAACCCGGGCAAAGCAACUCUUGCACAACCAAAGUCCCGGAUACUCGUUGUUGCUACCUUGGAUAGAAUCUUGUGAAGCAUGGAAGGAGGGAGAGAAGCCAAGUUGAAGUUCGCCAUGGAGAGAUAUUCGUUUAAUCAAGUAAAUGGAGAGAUAUUCGUUUUAUGAAGUAAAUGGAGAGUAUUCCCGUAAAAUUUAUUUGGAGAAGGUGAUAAUGAUCAUCUGACCCAUCUACAAGUAGACGCCUCGAGAAGACACGAGUUCAGAAGACACGACUUCUUACUGCAACAAUCGCAUGCCUUAGAUUUGAUACUUUUAGAUUUGAAACUUUGUAUAACUUUAAUGGAUAAAUAUAUAUAACUUUGUAUAAGUAAGUGAAAUAACUGAUUUAGAGUUGUCUAAAAUCGUGAAACUAAGAAAUUUUUAUAAUGAUUUAGAUAGUCUAAAUGUAAGAAACUAUGUAAGAUUUUAUGAAAUUUAGAUAUUAUAUGGUUAUAUUUUGCAAGAAAUGAUAGCAAGAAGCAUUAUCGGAGAUAAUAAAUGAAAAUGCUAAUAUUUAGUAAUUUUAAUUUCUGCUAUUUAAUGAUUUAUUACCCCAACUACAAGUUGUAACUCUUCCAUUUAAGAAUGAUUUGAUAGACGGCUCCAUAAGACACAACUUCUUCUACACGACUUCUCAUGGCAACAGUCGCAUGCAUUGGAUUUGAAACUUUGUAUAACUUUUAACUGUUAAAAAAAUAUAACUUUGUAUAAGUAAGUGAAAUAACUGAUUUAGAUUGUCUAAAUAUAUGAAACUAAACAAAAUUUUAACGAUUUAGAUCAUCUAAAUAUAUGAAACUAUGUCAAAAUUUAAGAAAUUUAGAUAUUUUAUUUUUAUAUUUUGCAAGAAAUGAUAGGAAAAAGCAGUAUUGUAGAUAAUAAAUGAAAAUUAUAAUAUUUAGUAACUUUAAUUCAUGUUAUUUAAUGAUGUAUUACCCCAAUAACAAGUUGUAAGUCUUCCAUUUUGACACGAGUUCAGAAGACACAACUUCUCUCUCACUCCAACAGUCAUCUACAAUCAUCAUUACAUUCUCAUUUAAACUCCACAACACUAAACCGUGUACAAUCAUCAUUACAUUUGCAUUUAGUUACUCCACUGCAUUAAGUUAAAUCGUCUUCUUCACUACGGAGGGAUAGUUAGAUCCAUCCCUUUAAAAUACACAGGAUCUACCCUUUCUAUUCCUAUGUUACCGGCAGCAGACCAUAGUGGACUUAUAUCCUAGCAGAUGAAGAUGUAAGUGUUAAAUCAUCAUCUCUCAAGUUUCUAAUAUCAUGCAACAAUGAAAAAUAAAAACUUGAUCCUUGAACUUUAUCUAUGCAGGGAACCAAGAUGUAGAUGACCAUAUGUGGAGGAUAUGAAGAUAGGUUUAGAGGCAUAGAGAAGCAAGAGGGAAAAUGGGUGAAAAUCUUUCGGAUAGAUGUUCACCGUGCCUAUCCAGGGUUCCAGGCAACAAAAUCCUGGUUCACACUAAAGGCUACGCGCCAUACGCAUGUCCACAUCAUCGAUUCUCUGAACAAUCGGCUUUACAUGGACUUAAAGAACAUCCAUGAAAUCCCUCACAUGAACCACAUGGACCGAAACUAUCCCAUAGGUAUGAAUACUAACUACCAAAAUUAAAAUAUAUUUCAGAUAUAUAGAUGUAAGUAACAGAAGCAGAAAAACUUGUAUGAUAAAUACAAUGGGAGUGGUCUUCAACACGAAAUCCCAUUUCGAUGACCCUGCAAGGGACAACAUGUAAGUAGAAAGUGACAUAUGAUCAAUGCUCCAGAAUUUAUACAUUAGUGUAAUUGACACACCUUGUUUUAUUCAUCAUAGUGAGAGUCGGAUAAAGUGUGUGGCAACUGGCGAUCAUGCUUAUGCCUUUCGGGAUAGUCUUGAAAACAUGAGAGGUCGUGGACAGGUGAUUGUGGUCCUUAAGAUGUGGAGGGUCUGGCGUUUUUUCAGUAAGUGUAGUUUAUAUGUUUAGUUUUAAAUGUGAUAGUUGAGUAUAACGUUUACUAAACUCAUUUAUGCAUGCAUGUUAUUUUGGUCCUGAUGAACUAUGGCUAGAGACCGAGGGUGGAUUAUCUGACUUCAGGUUCAAUAUGAUUUUGCCGGAGGUUGAGGAUAUCAUAUGGUCUCUACUAUGCAGUGACCCUUAUGGUCAUAGACAUGAGGCUAUAGGGCCUUUGUAAAUCUGGUUGUUCUCAUUGUUCUCCAUCUUCGUAGUUGUCUUAAACCUUUUAGUUUGAUGUAAAAUCGCUAACGUGUGUUGAAACACCUUUGUUAAAUGUUGAUGAAACUUUAUGCUUUUAACUUUGUUAAAAUUAUACAAACUUGUGUUAGUUUCACUUUCUCAAAUGUCCAACAUCGUAAAAAUUUGAGAAAUUUUUUCAAUAGAUCAAACUUCAGAAUCGUUCAACUUUGCAUAACUUAGGCGAAACAUAUGAGAAGCUUAGAAAAAACAGAAACUUGAAGUUCUUGUUCGUAUAAACAUAUCAAAUUUUGUGUUAGUUUCACUUUCUCAAUUGUCCAACAUCGUAGAAAUUAAAGAAACUUUUUUAAUAGAUCAAAUUUCAUAGUCGUUCAACUUCGUAUAACUUAGGCGAAAUAUACUAAAAACUUAGAAAAAACAGAAAGUUUAACUUCGUCAUAGCUUUAGGAAUUACUUGUACAUCAAAAUUCCUAACUACAACGCCACCGAGACCCAAAAUAAGACAACCUCGUUUCAUUAUUUUGGGACCACUCAUCACUGUUGCUUUGAGUACUUAAACUUCUUCUUCUAGCAUUCGAACCUGGUAGUCCAACUGUUGUAUCUUAUCAGUGAAAGCUUCAUCAACCCAUUUAAAGAUGUGAUUGUCCUUCUCAAGCUAUAACAUUUUGUUCAAAAAAAUUAAAGGCACAACUGUUCAGAAAAUAUAAAGGUAGCUGGUGGGUGGGAAAAUUAAUCCUUUGAUUUUCGUGAUAGAAGUUUCAUCAAGUUAGCAGUUUUGCAUAAAACAUCAAAGUUGUACUUUUAAUUUGUUUUUUCAUUUAUAUUAGUUUUAUUCAACAUGAAUGACUGAUUUCAUGGUUAUACCAAUUAUAUUAUGUUUCCUAGAUUCAUUUAUAAUAUGAUUAUGUAAACAUAAAAUUGAUUCGAGGCCAUAGUAAAUUUUCAAAUGUGUCAAGGUGAAUAUUAGCGAAAAACCUAUAAGAACACAAUGUAUUUCGUAUAUGAAUACUAGUAAGUAAAGAGAUGAUAAAUUUAUUAACUCUAAUUAGAUCAUAAUUAGCUCUAACCACAAUGUCUCUUGUGGGGAUGUUCAUUUACUUGUACAAACACAAAAUACAAAUCUCACUCAUAUCCAGUAAACAAAAAAGUUAUACUAGUAAAGAAAAAAGUUUCAUUUAGUUGUACAAACACAAAAUACAAAUUUCACUUUUCAACGUUUCCACACAGUAAAAACAUUAAAACUGAAAGUGAAAGGUUUACAA